GCUGGCGGCAGGCCUAACACAUGCAAGUCGAGCGGUAGCACAGGGAGCUUGCUCCUGGGUGACGAGCGGCGGACGGGUGAGUAAUGUCUGGGAAACUGCCUGAUGGAGGGGGAUAACUACUGGAAACGGUAGCUAAUACCGCAUAAUGUCUUCGGACCAAAGAGGGGGACCUUCGGGCCUCUUGCCAUCAGAUGUGCCCAGAUGGGAUUAGCUAGUAGGUGAGGUAAUGGCUCACCUAGGCGACGAUCCCUAGCUGGUCUGAGAGGAUGACCAGCCACACUGGAACUGAGACACGGUCCAGACUCCUACGGGAGGCAGCAGUGGGGAAUAUUGCACAAUGGGCGCAAGCCUGAUGCAGCCAUGCCGCGUGUAUGAAGAAGGCCUUCGGGUUGUAAAGUACUUUCAGCGAGGAGGAAGGCAUUGUGGUUAAUAACCGCAGUGAUUGACGUUACUCGCAGAAGAAGCACCGGCUAACUCCGUGCCAGCAGCCGCGGUAAUACGGAGGGUGCAAGCGUUAAUCGGAAUUACUGGGCGUAAAGCGCACGCAGGCGGUCUGUCAAGUCGGAUGUGAAAUCCCCGGGCUCAACCUGGGAACUGCAUUCGAAACUGGCAGGCUAGAGUCUUGUAGAGGGGGGUAGAAUUCCAGGUGUAGCGGUGAAAUGCGUAGAGAUCUGGAGGAAUACCGGUGGCGAAGGCGGCCCCCUGGACAAAGACUGACGCUCAAGUGCGAAAGCGUGGGGAGCAAACAGG
rnacentral:rRNA from 1 species